rnacentral:rRNA from 1 species
AACGGGGGAAGCAAGUGUUAUUCGUCAUGACUGGGUGUAAAGGGUAAGUAGGUGGAUAUUUAACUUUUGAUAAAAAAUAGUGAAUAUCUAGGGUAUAAUAGAAGUUAAUGGUACUCUUGAGGAAAGGGUAAAUCUAAUGAUCUCAAAGGGGACCACCAAUAAGCGAAGGCGAUUAACUAUAUUAGAACUGACGCUGAGGUACUAAAGCGUAGGGAGCAAACAGG